GACGGGGCCGCGACAAGCGGUGGAUGAUGUGGUUAAUUCGAUGCAACGCGAAAAACCUUACCCACCUUUGACAUGUACGGAAUCCUUAGAGAUAGAGGAGUGCUCGAAAGAGAGCCGUAACACAGGUGCUGCAUGGCUGUCGUCAGCUCGUGUCGCGAGAUGUUGGGUUAAGUCCCGCAACGAGCGCAACCCUUGUCAUUAGUUGCUACAUUCAGUUGGGCACUCUAAUGAGACUGCCGGUGACAAACCGGAGGAAGGUGGGGAUGACGUCAAGUCCUCAUGGCCCUUAUAGGUGGGGCUACACACGUCAUACAAUGGAUGGUACAAAGGGUCGCCAACCCGCGAGGGGGAGCCAAUCCCAUAAAGCCAUUCGUAGUCCGGAUCGCAGUCUGCAACUCGACUGCGUGAAGUCGGAAUCGCUAGUAAUCGUGGAUCAGAAUGUCGCCGUGAAUACGUUCCCGGGUCUU
rnacentral:rRNA from 1 species